rnacentral:lncRNA from 1 species
CACAAUGCAACUGCAUUUAAAAUGUUAUAUUUUGUCUUCUCAGUUAAUGUAUAUUUUGGCUGGUAAUAGAAUCUUUAAUGAGCCUAAAGAAUAUUGAUUAGAACUGACCCUGGGAAAUAAAAAGUACCCAAAGUCAUUAUUUUAAAGGAGAUAAAUACAUAUGUUGAGUCUUGAUAAUGAGGUAGAAUUUAUAGUAGGAAAGAUAACUGGUAAAAUGUCAAUAUUUUAAUUUUGCUCACAUGUGAAAACUGGGUAUUUAAAAACAACUUCCAAUACGUGUUUUAGAGUACUCGAUUUAAAUUAAUCUUGUCCUUAGGAACAACCUGACGUCUUUGCUAAUCCUCUGGAAGAGAGAACCGCUGGGGUAUCUGUUUAAUAACAUUGAUAUGUUUGAUUCUAUCAAUUUGAUAUUUUUGACACCUCAUGAGUCUGCUGAAAUUCUUGUCUGGUAAGAACUGAAGAAGAAAAGAUGUGAAGAGAAAAGAACACUGAGGAAUAUCAGCCUUGACUUGCACAGGAAAUAUUAUUACUAUUUCUUGUAUUGUCUUGCAGAGCAAGUGUUUCUUCAGGAAACACAGGACUGACCUCAUCAAAAUAGGUAUUGUGUCAUAGCAGUAGUAAAUCGGCAAGCAGAACUGGAGUAGCUUACACACUUAGAUGCCAGAUAGUCCUACAAAAAUCAGCUCCAGGUCGGGGAACCAGGGAAAGCAGCAGUUUCUAGUCCAAGAAGCUGGAGGCCUCAGAACAAGAG